CAGUGAUCAGGACACAUGAUAAUUAUGACUUAAAACAAAGCAGUAGCAGUGGAGUUGCUGAAAAAUAUUUUCCUCUGGAAAUAUUUUGAAUAGGAACUGGCAGGAGAAACUGACACAUAGAGUGAAGGGGACUAGCAAACAGAAGUCCAGGAGGACACCAAGUUAUUACUAAAGGCAGAAUUGCCAUGGUCUGAGAGAGGAAGAAAAUAUAAGCAUAGUAAAUUUGAAGAAGACUGGGAAUCCACUUCUGGACAUGAACCAGAUCCAAAAAGGAUGAAGUAAGUGAAAAGAGCCUAUUUUGGAGAGAAAUAAACACCAGUAUAGAAGAGCAGAGAACAACAGGAAGUGAAGGCAGCCCAUGAGGCAGACAAUCAAGCCAGCUGCACUGUGGGCAGAUGGGUUCAGCCUCUUGGAAAUAUUGAGACAGUUGAUCUCUUGCAAAAUACAAAAGAAUCAGAACAUUUAUACACCAAAUAAUGCCAGUCAUUUGUUCAACUCUGCUGAUAAAAACAAAGAGUUAGAUUACCAUGGCUUCAGAGGAAAUCCUUGGCAAAAAGGUGAAGGUAGGAGGUAGUAGGCCAGAGGGUAAGGGGUCCAUGUCACCAAGCAUAUUGUCUCUGUAUAUUCCAAUCACUUUAGUAUUAUUUCUAACCUACGUUUAGCCAAAAACACACUAUGCAACGAAAUUGUAAAAAAAAAAUAAUAAUAAUAAUAGAAAAAUUAGUUUUCUACUUUGCAUUUCACUCCUUGAUGCAUUGCCUCAAGUUCUUUGGCCAAAUUUUACAUUUUCUGCAUGUUUGUAACUCUUUAGUCCAAAUCCCUGGAGCCAGAUAUUUUUGAAACACAGAAUAUUUUUCAUACUAUGUUAUGAGGUUUGAGAACGCACUUUGUAAUCAAAUUUAAUAUUUCUGCAGAAGUAUUUACACUAAGUAAUAUUUAUUAUUGCAUUAGUAAAGAAUAUAGAUAGUUUCACCUCCAUCCAGGUCAAGACUGUGAUUCAUCUAGAUGCAACCAGAAUGUACACAUGGAAAAGGCCGGCAUCUGCAAUGUGCAUUUUCUUGGAGGAAAAGAAAUGGCAGUUGGCAAGGAAUAUCUAGAUAACCAAGAAGCAAUGGAAGUUUCAGAAAAUAAGAACAUGGCCUCCUACAUAGAGUCAAGUGUUCUAUCUUGUUCUGAUGAGUUAAGCAGGGUAUCUGGGUAUCUCCAAAGGGAUAUCCAGAUCUGGUUUCCUUUUGAGGUCAAGUGAUGAAAAGUUUCCAGAUUUUUAAAGUAUGGAAUUGUGAAUAAAUUGAUAACUAUACAGUG